rnacentral:rRNA from 1 species
UACAGGGGGUGCAAACGUUGCUCGGAAUCAUUGGGCGUAAAGCGCACGUAGGCGGUUCGUUAUGUCGGAUGUGAAAGCCCUUGGCUUAACCGAGGAAGUGCAUCCGAAACUGGCGAGCUAGAGUACGAAAGAGGAUCGCGGAAUUCCCGGUGUAGAGGUGAAAUUCGUAGAUAUCGGAAGGAACACCAGUGGCGAAAGCGGCUUCCUGGUCCAGCACCGACGUCAGGCACGAAAGCGUGGGGAGCAAACAGG